rnacentral:rRNA from 1 species
UACGUAGGGUGCAAGCGUUGUCCGGAAUUACUGGGCGUAAAGAGCUCGUAGGUGGUUUGUCGCGUUGUUCGUGAAAACUCACAGCUCAACUGUGGGCGUGCGGGCGAUACGGGCAGACUUGAGUACUGCAGGGGAGACUGGAAUUCCUGGUGUAGCGGUGAAAUGCGCAGAUAUCAGGAGGAACACCGGUGGCGAAGGCGGUUCUCUGGGCCUUACCUGACGCUGAGGAGCGAAAGCGUGGGGAGCAAACAGG